rnacentral:sRNA from 1 species
GGAGGAAUGGUUGUUAUUUUGUUAUUUUGGGACACUACACCACACUACACGGUUGGACGACGAUUUAAAACAACAAAACAAAACAAAACCACUGAAAACAGAAGACAACAAAAGCCAAUUGAUGCGUUCGUAAGAAGUAAGAACAAGAGCAUUUCCAUUUCGUCUUCAUUUGCAUUUUACCAUUGCAAACGAAACAAAAGAAACGAAAAGCAAAGGAAGGAAAAUUUUAAUAUCCUAAUGUCCAUUUCAAACUAAUCCACUUAACGCGCAAAAGUGAAAAAAGAACCAAAACAAAAUUCAAAAGCACAAAAAA